rnacentral:rRNA from 1 species
UACAGAGGGUGCAAGCGUUGUUCGGAAUCAUUGGGCGUAAAGGGCGUGUAGGCGGUCUGCUAAGUCAUGUGUGAAAGCCCUCGGCUUAACCGAGGAACGACGCAUGAAACUGGCAAGCUAGAGUCCGGAAGAGGCGAGUGGAAUUCCUGGUGUAGCGGUGGAAUGCGCAGAUAUCAGGAGGAACACCAACGGCGAAGGCAGCUCGCUGGGACGGUACUGACGCUAAGGCGCGAAAGCGUGGGGAGCAAACAGG